rnacentral:rRNA from 1 species
GAGUUUGAUCCUGGCUCAGAUUGAACGCUGGCGGAAUGCUUUACACAUGCAAGUCGAACGGCAGCACGGGUGCUUGCACCUGGUGGCGAGUGGCGAACGGGUGAGUAAUACGUAGGAACAUGUCCAGUAAUGGGGGAUAACGCAGCGAAAGUUGUGCUAAUACCGCAUACGUCCUGAGGGAGAAAGCGGGGGAUCGCAAGACCUCGCGUUAUUGGAGUGGCCUACGUCUGAUUAGCUAGUUGGUGGGGUAAGAGCCCACCAAGGCGACGAUCAGUAGCUGGUCUGAGAGGAUGAUCAGCCACACUGGGACUGAGACACGGCCCAGACUCCUACGGGAGGCAGCAGUGGGGAAUUUUGGACAAUGGGGGCAACCCUGAUCCAGCCAUUCCGCGUGAGUGAAGAAGGCCUUCGGGUUGUAAAGCUCUUUCAGCAGGGAAGAAACGGUUGCAGCUAAUACCUGCGACUAGUGACGGUACCUGCAGAAGAAGCACCGGCUAACUACGUGCCAGCAGCCGCGGUAAUACGUAGGGUGCGAGCGUUAAUCGGAAUUACUGGGCGUAAAGCGUGCGCAGGCGGUUUUGUAAGUCAGAUGUGAAAGCCCCGGGCUCAACC